AUUGAACGCUGGCGGCAGGCCUAACACAUGCAAGUCGAGCGAGCGGCGGACGGGUGAGUAAUGUCUGGGAAACUGCCUGAUGGAGGGGGAUAACUACUGGAAACGGUAGCUAAUACCGCAUACCAUCAGAUGUGCCCAGAUGGGAUUAGCUAGUAGGUGGGGUUACGGCUCACCUAGGCGACGAUCCCUAGCUGGUCUGAGAGGAUGACCAGCCACCCUGGAACUCAGACACGGUCCAGACGCCUACGGGAGGCAGCAGUGUGGAAUAUUGCACAGUGGUCGCAAGCCUGAUGCAGCCAUGCCGCGUGUGUGAAGAGGUCCUGCGGGUUGUAAAGCACUUUCAGCGGAGAGGCGUUACCCGCAGAAGAAGCACCGGCUAACUCCGUGCCAGCAGCCGCGGUAAUAC
rnacentral:rRNA from 1 species